UUCUUGAUGUAGCACAUCUAAUAACUGUAAAUGUGAAUAAGAGAGACAACAUUUGUGGAGAAGUGGGCAACAUGAAACUCAAAUAGGAUUUUCAAAGCAAUAAGUAAUCUUUAUUCUGUCUGAGAGAACUAAAGGGGAUAUUCCGCCAUUACAUUAGCAGAGAAACAUGUAGUUCCAGAUGGGAUCUAGAAAGUAAUCUAAGGUACAAUUAGAAAUUAGCUGGGUCACAAUGAGCCAAAUUGGACACCGCAAAGACUUUGCACAUCAUAACAAGUGCUUAUUGUCUUCUCAAUGGAAAAUAUUUCAGCUACACAUGCACACAGAUUGUAAGCUAGUAGGUUUUCAGGUAUGAUGGGAUGCAAAAUCAAGUCCAACCAAACUCAUACACAUGGUCUUUUAAAAUAAUGUGCAUCAUUCCUGGAUGCAAGCCGAGCAAGCAGCCAACUGCAAAACCCCCUGGCUACCCUCUAUCGAUGCCACUGUCGCUGUCAAUCUGGGACACCUGGCCGCUCAAAGCCAUGCUGCAUGACAGAGGAGGUAGACUCAGAUUAGUUAAUGUGGAUCCCAAGGUGGAUCGAGGAGGCUGCCGCGCGGGAGAUGACACAUCGCUAGCUUCGGCAUGCUGCAACAAACAGACAUUAUUAAAGUAUAAAGACGCAACAAAACUAACAUCACAAAAAUGAUAAGACAAUAUAAUAUUGCUGGAAAAAAAGGUGUAUCGAUCAUCAAAUUUGUUUGACAUACAAACCAGCCUAGGAGAAGAUCAUCUAUGUGAGAAAACCAAACAUCAACUCAGCUAGUGGAAAACUGAGCAUAACAUUGUAAGCAAGAAAAGAUAAAUAAGUAAACAAAAUUAGUUAUCUUGGCAAGCAGCCACUAUGUGGCCCCUCUCAUCACCACCAUUCUGCUCAUCUAUUUUCUCGGGCCCUCUACUGUCUAAACAAAGUUGCAAGCUUUUCUGGAAACAAGAAAGCUUGUUAUCUUUGCUUCUGAAGAAAAACCUUGAAAUCCCUCACCAUUGCAUAGGUGCAGUUUACAAUAAAGCUAACCUGGUUUUACCAAAUGGGAAAUAAAGCCACAAUCAGCAGAUAAGAUAACAAUUAACAACUAUGAGUAGAUCAUUGAUGCUUUUCAAUUUUAUGUAGUAGUUCAGCACUGUAAUAUCUGGUGGGUUCAGAAAUUAUUUGAAGUUUUAUAUAUGAUCUACUUCAAAUAAUUCAAGAAAAAAGCCUGAUUCUGUAUUGAACACUGUGAACUUCAAACCCCAGCUCAUCUCAUCAUAUCACUAUUUUUUACUGCACUUCCGGGCAGCCUAGAUUAUAUAUGGUACACGCAUAUGCUAUUCAUACGGUCGUACCAUUCAGCUAACAAAAUGAAUUAAGUCAUCUUGGAGAUUUAUUCCACAAAGCAAAAAUAUUGUAUGAUGAAUCAGAUAACAAACUUUUAUUUGAUUAGGAGGCUACCUCUAGAAAUAGUAGCACGUGAGGACAUGACUUCCUAUGCCACAUCUAAAGAAAUUGAGGUGCUGUGACAUUACCUAUUGAGCAUGCGCACACACUAUAGAGACAUCAAAACCAGGCGAAAUCAAUGAAAGAAGCGCUUCUUAACAUUGAUAAAACAAGAGGAACAAAAAGUUAUAAUUAAAACACUUAAAUUUGAACCACUGUGAACAAGAACUAUCUGUUUGGUCCAUCAUACUUCUCACUGCACACUAUCAGUGUAGAGAAACCUGGCAGAGCCACAAUUAUUCACUAUAGGAAGCAGCUUGCCUACACUGGGUCUUGAUUAGCUGCACACUAUCAGUGCAGAGAAACCUGGCAGAGCCACAAUUAUUCACUAUAGGAAUCAUACUUCUCACUGCACACUACCAUGGGAGUAACUCUCGUAUGCAAAUAUAUGCAAUGCAACACUGCAAUGCUACAUCAUCAGCUUCUAGCAUGUUCUCCAGGAUUACCAAUUUUUCAGGAAAAAAACGAAAUAGGGGUAUGUAUCGCUGAUUAGCUGAAACAUAAUUCAAAAUACAUAAAAAAUAGAGAAAGUAUUUAGUUUUGGUCAUUUUCUUUCUCUACUGUAGAUCUUUUCUAAAUUAUAUAUAUGUGUCUGCUACUCCUAAGAUAGUUAAUAAAUCUGAUCUGCUGUUUCUAGAAUAUGUGGAUGACCGAACCAUGUCAAGAUUUGGCCUCCUGUACGCUAUCUUCUAUUUCUAACCACAGAACAUUGAGGUACCUUUGGAAAGCUAGCGACGGCCUCUAAAACUUUCAAGAACCUAAACUAAUAACUAUUGAUAAGUGUAUAGUGAGAAUUUGGUAUCCUAAUACAAUGAGUUCCAUGCUUCUCUGAAUAGUGGUGACCUCAUUUUUUUCAUGGGUGGCACUGACUAAUUUCUUAUUUGUUAGAUGAUGAUGACCUCAUCUCACUAUUUCCUUUUUAUGGAAAUAACAUGAUAAUCAUUGAACCAGACUAUGAGUGAAUCCCCACCACCCAUAACUGAAAAGUAAUGAUAUUGGCAUCUUUAUUACUAAAAGUACAUUACACAUAAGCUAUAUAUACAUUCAGUUUUGCUAGUGGGAAAGGCUUGUUACACUUCAGUAUGCACAAUAGUAUAUGCUUUAACCUGUCAAAUAUGUACUGCCAUAAACAAAGAAAAAUUGUAUUUGAUUUGCCAUGGAACUGCUUGAAAUUGAAGAUAUGGAUGAUGGUGCAACACACAAAUCAAAUCAGCCACAACUUAAACUAAGGUAUGUUUAUUAUCAGUCUGAAACUCGACUCAAUAGGCUGAAUAUACACAAUGAAACACAGGUUACAUUGUGAUUCUCAGAUUCACACAGAAUCAAAGUUGAACAUGAAUAGAGAAACAUUCUCAAAGUUCAGACAGGGUAGGCUAGUCUGCUGCUUUUGAAAACUGCCAGUAUAACCGUAUAUAUCGUCGCAGCCGCAGACAGAGCCGGGGGACAGAAAUAAUAACUAAAAUAGAGGAUUCGAUCCAGUGAUUAGCUUUCAAGGGGAUAAAUACCUCUAGUGUAGCCGCUGCAGGUGACAUUGGACAGCUCGACCGAUGUUCUUGUUCCUCCAGUGAACUCGGUGCUUCUUCCUCCGGCGAACUUGGCAGCGACAUUAGACGCUUCAUGCAAUUUUCGAUGGAACUUGAUGGAGCUCUGCUGCAACUGCAUCACUUCUACUUGUAUCUCAGUUAAUUAUGUACCCAUCUACUACAUAUGUAUACAUGACAAUACAAAUUGUCUUCAUAUUAGCAGUGCGGCAGUGCUACUUAUCGAUGUAAUAGGCACACUUGAGAAAUUAAGGUUGAUGUUUCGACUUCUUAGCAGGCUAUAGUUUUCGCAUGCAGUCAUCUUUCCCUAAUUAAGUGAUUAAGCUCAGGGAAAACCAUGGUAGUGGUACCUUGUUUGAUCCUAGAACUCUUGGACCAGCAUCAUGUGGCAGUCCUGCAUAUCGUGUGGCAAGCGUCAUGGAGGUUGUAAGGUGAGCGUGAAGCCACCAACAACCCCAUGACUGAGCUGCAGAGAAGGGUGAACUCUGAUCCUACAGCUCCCGCUUUGUUGAUUGUUGAUUUCUGAUUAAAUUAGAAGAUGGGAGAAGAGCAGCAUGGUCAGACCUUUAGAUCGUAUGGCAUAUGUCAAGAAGGCCAGCCAUCCUUCUUCUCCCUACCUCUCCUCCCCGAAUCCUCUUCUGUUUCUCUUUUCUACCAGCGAAAACUUAAGCCCCUCCUCUCUAGCCUUCCUC
rnacentral:lncRNA from 1 species